CUACGUGCCAGCAGCCGCGGUAAUACGGAGGAUGCGAGCGUUAUCCGGAUUUAUUGGGUUUAAAGGGUGCGUAGGCGGCCUGUUAAGUCAGCGGUGAAAUCUAGGAGCUUAACUCCUAAAUUGCCAUUGAUACUGGCGGGCUUGAGUGUAGAUGAGGUAUGCGGAAUUCAUGGUGUAGCGGUGAAAUGCUUAGAUAUCAUGAAGAACUCCGAUUGCGAAGGCAGCAUACGGGAGUGUAACUGACGCUUAAGCUCGAAGGUGCGGGUAUCGAACAGGAUUAGAUACCCUGGUAGUCCGCACAGUAAACGAUGGAUGCCCGCUGUUAGCGCCUGGCGUUAGCGGCUAAGCGAAAGCAUUAAGCAUCCCACCUGGGGAGUACGCCGGCAACGGUGAAACUCAAAGGAAUUGACGGGGGCCCGCACAAGCGGAGGAACAUGUGGUUUAAUUCGAUGAUACGCGAGGAACCUUACCCGGGCUUGAA
rnacentral:rRNA from 1 species